rnacentral:tRNA from 2 species
GCCUGCCUAGCUCAAUCGGAUAGAGCGUCAGACUUUUAAUCUGAAGGCUGCGGGUUCGACCCCCGCGGUGGGCU